rnacentral:lncRNA from 1 species
UAAUAAAACAAGAGUGCACACACUGAAAUGUCUCGCCUUCUUUACUAAUCAUUGAUAUUAUGUUGAUAGUCCUAAGUAUAAAGCUUUAUUACAACUGUCACAUAAACUUAACAUUAACCAAGAUAGCUAAAUAAAGACCAAUGAACCAUGAAAAUGAGGUCAAGGUCAGAUGAACCAUGCCAGGCAGACAUGUACAGCUAACAAAGCUUCCAUACAACAAAU